CCAGGUAUGAAGUUCCCCUCAUACCAGGACGCAGGUCCAAUGUAUCACAGUCUGUUGUGCAGAUGUCCGUCUUCAACUAUUAGGAGCAUUUGAACAAACUGUGAAGGUACAAAGUGUGUGUGAACUGAUGUGGAUGUGAAAUCAGCAGCAUGGUUCAGUGUGAGGACACAGAGGAGGGAGUCCUUCCCUCUAAAACCACUCUGUGUGGGGAAGAUGAGAGCCAGACCAAAGGUCACAGGAUCCAUCAAAGACUCAAUCCUGAACCUGAACCCAGCUGUGUGUCCUUUAAAAGUGAAUGGUCCAAGGAUCUUCCUGUUAAAUUUAAAGCAGCCCACCCUUCAUCA